UUGGACCUGAUAUCAGGCAAGAUUACCCGCUGAAUUAGCUAUCAAAAAGGGGGGAGGAGAGAAAAGGAAAUAAAAAAAUCCCCACAGCCGGGGUGU
rnacentral:rRNA from 1 species